AAACUUAAAGGAAUUGACGGGACCCGCACAAGCGGUGGAUGAUGUGGAUUAAUUCGAUGCAACGCGAAAACCUUACCUACCCUUGACAUGUCCGGAAUCCUGCAGAGAUGCGGGAGUGCCCGAAAGGGAAUCGGAACACAGGUGCUGCAUGGCUGUCGUCAGCUCGUGUCGUGAGAUGUUGGGUUAAGUCCCGCAACGAGCGCAACCCUUAUCAUUAGUUGCUACGCAAGGGCACUCUAAUGAGACUGCCGGUGACAAACCGGAGGAAGGUGGGGAUGACGUCAAGUCCUCAUGGCCCUUAUAGGUGGGGCUACACACGUCAUACAAUGGCCGGUACAGAGGGUAGCCAACCCGCGAGGGGGAGCCAAUCCCACAAAGCCGGUCGUAGUCCGGAUCGCAGUCUGCAACUCGACUGCGUGAAGUCGGAAUCGCUAGUAAUCGCGGAUCAGCAUGUCGCGGUGAAUACGUUCCCGGGUCUU
rnacentral:rRNA from 1 species